GUCUGGGUGGUGUAGUUGGUUAUCACGCUAGUCUCACACGCUAGAGAUCCCGGGUUCAAGCCCGGGCUUAGACA